rnacentral:rRNA from 1 species
GACGAACGCUGGCGGCGUGCUUAACACAUGCAAGUCGAACGGAAAGGCCCUGCUUUUGUGGGGUGCUCGAGUGGCGAACGGGUGAGUAACACGUGAGUAACCUGCCCUUGACUUUGGGAUAACUUCAGGAAACUGGGGCUAAUACCGGAUAGGAGCUCCUGCUGCAUGGUGGGGGUUGGAAAGUUUCGGCGGUUGGGGAUGGACUCGCGGCUUAUCAGCUUGUUGGUGGGGUAGUGGCUUACCAAGGCUUUGACGGGUAGCCGGCCUGAGAGGGUGACCGGCCACAGGGGGACUGAGAUAAGGACCAGACGACGGCGGGAGGCAGCAGGGGGGAAGAUUGCACAAGGGGCGGAAGCCUGAUGCAGCAACGCCGCGGGCGGGAUGACGGCCUUCGGGUUGUAAACCGCGUUCGCCUGUGACGAAGCGUGAGGGACGGUAAUGGGUAAAGAAACACCGGCUAACUACGGG